GUUUGGAGUGUGUGUGUGUGUGUGUGUGUGUGUGUGUGUGUGUGUGUGUGUGUGUGUUUGUGUGGUGGUGCGUGUAUUUUUGGCUUUGUACAAGUGGGUGUAUUUGAAUCAGGUUAGCUUAGACCGUCUCCCCAAAUUCAGUGUGUGUGUGUUUACAGUGUGUCUGUGAAUGUGCGUGCGUGUGUGUGUGUGUACAGAACAGGG